GACGUAGGAGGUUAGCGUUAUCCGGAUUUAUUGGGCGUAAAGCGCGUGCAGGCGGUCUGGUAAGUUGGAUGUGAAAGCUCCUGGCUUAACUGGGAGAGGUCGUUCAAUACUGUCAGACUAGAGAAUGGGAGAGGGAGGUGGAAUUCCGGGUGUAGUGGUGAAAUGCGUAGAUAUCCGGAGGAACACCAGUGGCGAAAGCGGCCUCCUGGACCACUUCUGACGCUAAGACGCGAAAGCUAGGGUAGCAAACGGG
rnacentral:rRNA from 1 species